rnacentral:lncRNA from 1 species
GUCAUCCGCUUCCUCUCAGCUCCAGAGGAUCUGAACAGGAGACAUAGCGAUGAGGGCUCUCUCGCAAAAGGAGCAGGACAUAUAGAUGAUGCUCACAGUCGAGAUCCGCAUCAGUGUAGAAAGAGCAGGACAUCCAAAUGAGACUUGUCAUCGUAGUCCUCCUCGGUGCAGAGGGAGCGAGAUAUCUAGAUGAUGCUUACUAAGGAGGUUCACCUCAGGAUCAUGGUCAUUGACCAAAGAGUAUAUCCGAAGAGGAGUUUCGAGGAUAAAAGCCAAAGUGGUAUAACCCUGUAACACCUAUCUUGUAGCUUAUUGCUUCGUAAUAUAAUAAUAUUGAUGGAAAUGACACCAUGAUGGCAUAGUUUUAGAAGUUCGGAGAUGUUGUGAUUAGGCAUGGGGUCAGUCAAUAUUUGUACCCACCUCAUAAUUAAAAAUCCUAUAUACCCAUUGCAGCCCCAUACCUAUCUUGAGUCAGGUUGAGUUGGAUCAAGUAGAGGUGCGGGUCGGAAACCUAAUGGGAUGCUAAAAUUGCCAUUCCCUAAUUGUGAUGUAAUUGGUAAUGGUGUUUAUACUUCUAUACUAGAAUCAUUUAUGUUGCCAAUCCAUGAUCAUUUUCAGUGG